GACGAACGCUGGCGGCGUGCCUAAUACAUGCAAGUAGAACGCCGUUUCGCACGGGUGAGUAACGCGUAGGUAACUGCCUCAUAGCGGGGGAUAACUAUUGGAAACGAUAGCUAAUUCCGCAUACUGUUAGAUGGACCUGCGUUGUAUUAGCUAGUUGGUUGGGUAAAGGGUCACCAAGGCGACGAUACAUAGCCGACCUGGGAGGGUGAUCGGCCACACUGGGAAUGGGACACGGCCCAGAAUCCUACGGGAGGCAGCAGGAGGGAAACAUCGGAAAUGGAGGGAAGGCUGAACAAGCAAAGGCGGGGGAGUGAAGAAGGGUUUCGGAUCGGAAAGGUCUGUUGAGAGAGAAGCGGUAACUAAAGAGAAAGGAACGGCUAACUACGUGCCAGCAGCCGCGGUAAUUC
rnacentral:rRNA from 1 species